rnacentral:misc_RNA from 1 species
GAACUGCGAUAAGUAAUGUGAAUUGCAGAAUUCAGUGAAUCAUCGAGUCUUUGAACGCACAUUGCGCCCCCUGGCAUUCCGGGGGGCAUGCCUGUCCGAGCGUCAUUGCUGCCCUUCAAGCCCGGCUUGUCUGUUGGGUCGUCGUCCCCUCCGGGGGACGGGCCCGAAAGGCAGCGGCGGCACCGCGUCCGGUCCUCGAGCGUAUGGGGCUUUGUCACCCGCUCGAUAAGGACCGGCCGGGCGCCAGCCGGCGUCUCCAACCUUUUUUUCUCAGGUUGACCUCGGAUCAGGUAGGGAUACCCGCUGAACUUAAGC